AAGAAACAACCGAUCGAAGAAAGGGUUCCGAUGGCCUUCGAUCGGUAAAAGAAGCAGGGGGAGGAUCUCUGGGGUUUCACUGGACCGAAGGAAGGAGAAGAACGAAGAAUGAAGUUGUUGUCGAUUCUUGGUGGGUGAAGGUUUGAGGAUGUGAGCACCUCUGAUGUUCAAAUUGUCUGCAGAAAAGGGAAGAAGCAGGGAGCCUACUUCUUUUUUGCUCUUGCAGUAAGAUGUGAAGGAGGAUGGGGGAAGGUGGGCUUCGAGAGAGAGAGGGGGGAAAGGUCUUUGGUCCUCAGUUGGUCCGAGAAGAAGAAAUACAAUUGAAGGUAGGAAGUGGGUCGGUGGUGGUAAUCUAUCGCAAAUAGGGAGAAGUCGAAAUACUGCGACCUCCUUAUGGUUGCUCUCUUCGUCAGCAGUAGUAAACAGAUGGGGUAAGGACGAAACACUGAGGCUGCUCUUCUUCUACUCCUGUUAGUGUGGUGCGAAGGAGAAGAAAUGUUGGUGGAGGUUUUUUCGACUGAAAGUGACGAAGAAAGAAGGUGUGUAUGUAAUGCUCACCGAGAACAGCCAUCUACAAUGGUGUUUGGCUUGCUUCGAUCAACAGCAAAGAGGCUGCUGCCUCCUUAAUUUUAUAGAAAAAAAAAAUAACAACUUGUGGGGUGUUUCUUGGCAGUUCACGAAGCAGAAAAACAAAAGAGAUACGAGAGAUAGUUUGGCUAUUUGUUUUGGUUGAAUAAAGGUGAAGGAUUUCUGCGAAUAUGGCUGAUUAUUUGUGUUUCUAAUAUGUGUGUACUUUUGGUUGAUCAUUGAAGCAAUACCUUUGACAAGAUCUUAUGCAGACUUUUGAGUGUGAGGGAAGCUUUUGAGUGUAAAAUUGUAUAUUAUAUGAUCUUCUUCCCUUUUUAAGUAGAUUUUACAUGAUUUGAUUGUAUGCCUUUAUGCAGUUUUGUUUUGUCAGGGCUUGUAGAGGCUACAGCUCUUCCAUAUCUUGGUAUUCAAAUCGGAGAAUGAAGUGUUGAUGAGAAGGCAUAAAUAAUCUUUUUUGCUCAGGUGUAUGACUUUUUAAUUUUAUUUUACUAUUACAUUGUUGAAUUAACUUAUUAUUAAUAGAUUAAGUUGUCUUGUUUGUUUAUGUUUUUCAGCUUCACAAUAGCUAUUUUACUUGCAACACUUUAUAGUGUCACCAACAGAAGUGGACAAAAAUACUUGUAUAGCUAUUGUAAUUAAUUAAUUAUCACUUUAUCAGUCAUAAGUCAUAACUCGUAACUGAAAACAUACUGUUUUUUUUUUU
rnacentral:lncRNA from 1 species